GGUUAAGUGACUAAGCGUACACGGUGGAUGCCUUGGCAGUCAGAGGCGAUGAAAGGCGUAAUAACUUGCGAUAAGCCCAGAUUAGGUAGUAAUAACCUU
rnacentral:rRNA from 1 species